rnacentral:rRNA from 1 species
AGUAGUCAUAUGCUUGUCUCAAAGAUUAAGCCAUGCAUGUCUAAGUGCAAGCCGUCCAGUACGGUGAAACCGCGAAAGGCUCAUUAAAUCAGUUAUGGUUCCUUAGAUCGUACCCGCGUUACUUGGAUAACUGUGGUAAUUCUAGAGCUAAUACAUGCCGAUAGAGUUCCGACCAUCAACCGGCUAGGCUCGCGGGUCUCUCGCGUCCUACCGGCGUUCGGAAGGAACGCUUUUAUUAGAUCAAAACCGGCCAGACGGCGGUUCGCGCGCUUUCGUGGCCCGAGCCGUCGUAAGCGGCCCGCGCAAAGACUCGGUGACUCUGAAUAACUUUCGGCCGAUCGCACGGUCUCGAACCGGCGACGUAUCUUUCAAAUGUCUGCCUUAUCAACUGUCGACGGUAGGUUCUACGCCUACCGUGGUGGUAACGGGUAACGGGGAAUCAGGGUUCGAUUCCGGAGAGGGAGCCUGAGAAACGGCUACCACAUCCAAGGAAGGCAGCAGGCGCGUAAAUUACCCACUCCCGGCACGGGGAGGUAGUGACGAAAAAUAACGAUACGGGACUCAUACGAGGCCCCGUAAUCGGAAUGAACACAGCGUAAAAACUUGGUCUCGUGAGGAUCAAUUGGAGGGCAAGUCU